rnacentral:lncRNA from 1 species
CACGCGGGAGCAGCACGGGCUCACUGUUGUUGGGCUUUUCUUAUUACGCACGAGUCACGAAUUCACAUGCUACCUGUCAUCGUGGUCCCCACCGACUGCCGAGAUCGUCGUCAUACAUCGUAGGGUCUCUCAUUCUCUGAUUAUCCUGCGACCGACGCGUCGUUUUCGCUGAACAGGCUUCAUUUCUUUCUGCGUCAGGAAUCUCAUAUGUGGGUCCCGCCCCCGAAGAUUUCUAACCAAUCAAAAUUCGAAACGUGUCGGUGGAAUCUGGAAGCGCACAGGGUCCCCCUGAAACUGAACGAGAGAAUUGGUACUUUUGAUACUUCCUUUAUGUUACGGGGAAGCUUUACCUAAUAUAAUAUAGGGUACAUGUUUUCCCACUCUCUGUUUUGGGUAGUGACUCACACGCUCUCUUUACCCACAAUUGGAAACAUAUUUAUUUAUUUAUUUAUUUUUAAUUUCUAUUAUCAUGCCAUAUGUUGGAGGUUUCUUAGCUAUGAAUACUCUAAAAUAAUAUUAAAUGAUUUGAGUG